AGCUUUGCGCAGUGGCGAUACCAUAGCCAGUGAGGUUUAUCCGAGGCGUGGUUAUUGCUAAUUGAAAACUGCUUCCAAAUCCAGUCAAGUCGACUUGCUACGGCAGUUGUCUUGCAAUUUUUGGAGGCCGGUUCGCCGG